GAGGGUAUAGCUCAAGUGGUAGAGCUGUUGCUUAGCAUGCAUGAGGUCCAGGGUUCAAUCCCCAGUACCUCCA
rnacentral:tRNA from 1 species